GGACUAAAAGGAAAACAAAGAAAUUGAUGUUGCCCUAAGGCUUCAAUUAUAAAAGAAAACAAUCUGAUCAUUUCAAGGGACGCUAGACUUUUGGAUAUUUUUCGAGCAGAUUUUUUCUUCAGGCUUUAGAAAAUUAGAAUAGAAUACACCUAAAACCUUCAUACACUAUUCAGAAAAUUCUCUUCAAAUCGUUCCUUCUGAGUGAUUUUUCUUUAACAAUCGAUGCAAGUUCUGGGUUGUUUUAGAGAUAUAUUGAUGAUAUUUGCCUCUCAAAUUUCCUGAGUUCCUGGGUUUUGCUGGUAUCCAUCUUCACUCAAAAGCUGAGAAAUAAUAGCAAUAUACACUCGAGAUUGUGGCUGAUAAUAAAGACAAUAAUACUUUUGUUUCAAUUCCAUAUCACAACUGUUAUUCAUUUUUUUGUAGUGUUUUUGGUGUUGUAAUGAAUAUGAAAAUGUAUUAAUUAUGGACUGUCUCAGGACUAUGCCUUUAAUUCGUUUAAGUUCCAGUAUAUUUAAAGAUAGUCUGGUCAUAUUUACUUAGUGUUGUAAUUUGAGUUGUGGUAGAGGUUUAACAACUGAACACGUAAAUACUCUGGAUGAGGAGUACUUCAAAUUGUUCAUUCAAAUAAAUGUGAAAUCCUUCUCAACA